CAACUGCAACAUCUUAGAUUCACAAACUCUGCUGAGAGUAUGCCAUUAUCCCAUCCCCCAGAAGACUAACUAGAGAAAUUCCUAGCUCUCUUCACUGAAAAGGCCUAAUUGGUAAUAAGCAUCCCUGGAGCCUAGACUAUGUUGAUUGAAGUAUCAUUUCAUACUAAAAGAAGAGAAGUGGCUGGUUCCAGGUCUACGGCAGAGAAAACAUAAGGAGCUUCAGAGAAAAAAAAACCAGUGUACAACUUUGAAGGAAGAAGAAUGGCUGUUGUGUAUAAUGUUGGAGAAGUAUUCUCUGCCACCCAUCAUCUCUCCUACAGUAUAAUCAGGCCAAACUUUCCAAAAUAUAACUUUAAUUCUGAAUCUUGCUCAAAAUUUCCUACACUUCCUUUUGUUUCUUACUUGACAACCAGGCUGUCCAGCCCACCUUCAGUGAUUACUCUCAACAAAAGCACCCCAAUAACAAAACUAGUCCACCUCUGUACUUUUCUCAUCCUGCUACAACUGGUUAGAAUCACUUUUAUCUAAAUCUUAAUCAUCUCUCAAGACCCAGCUAAAGCCCUCUAUCAUUCAUAAGACCUUUCCCAGUCCUCAUGGUUCACACAUUAGCUCUCUCUGAAUGUCCAUAGCAGCUUUUAUCUGAACUUUCCUUUUGGCAUUUAAUAAAAUACUCUCUUGUGCCCUUGCCAAGUCUUUUUUUGAUCCACCUUCUACUCCAGUUCCUGGAAAAUAGUAACUGUAUACCAUAAAAACAAAGAUGAUUAUUAUAUCUGUGGCAGAUUGUAUUAUUGUUCAAAAUUAUUCACUCCUUCCUUUAUGAAUAAAAUGUUUCCCCUUCACCUCUGACCCUUAUGAACUUUGGGCUUGGACAUCUGACUUGCUUUAGCCAAUGGAAUAUUUGCUAUGCAUCAAUUCCAAACAGAAUUUUAAAGGAAUUACAAGAUUCUAAAAGUUUCUUAGCUCCUGUGCCCACUACUAUCAGAAAAGCAUGUUGUGCAUAAGGUUUUCCUCUAGCUUAAGUCCCAGAGUAAGGAGGAAUAUGGAGGAAAUUCAGCCUUCAGUCUGAGGAACAAUCACAACAUCCAACUAGUAGCUGACAAUGUGAAUGUGAAUAAG